UCUCGCUUGGUCAACCAGGCCGCUAUUAACGACAUGGCAUUCCCAUAGCGUGACAGCAGUUUACAACCCGAAGGCCUUCAUCCUGCACGCGGUGUCGCUCCGUCAGGCUUUCGCCCAUUGCGGAAGAUUCUCG
rnacentral:rRNA from 1 species